GUUUGCAUUAAAAUCAUACCAUGAGUUCAAUUACCGUAUACUUUACUCGCCAGCGAUAAUUCGAUGGUUUUGUGAUGUCAUGUUGGUGAACAUGUUAACGUAUCCAACUUCACACUCUAUGAAUGGAUGAAUGAAAGAACGAAUGCCGCUCCUUUCUAACUAUAUAGAAAAGAUAGAGUAGGAAAUAACAAAAAUGUCAAAAAUAACACUGCAAAAUUUAAGUGUCCUAGAACAGUGCUUAAAGCUGAAUUAACAUGAUGAUUUUAAAUUUGUAUUGUUUAUUUCUUGUCAUUGUGACUUUGACGCAGCUGUUGUCAUGACAACAGAUAACAAAACAUGUUUUGUUGAAGGAUUAUUGAUGAAUAAUUUUCCACAAAAAAUUGGAUUUUAACCACGAUAGGAAAAUGAGAACCUGCGCCUAUCCGUUUAAACCGAUUGUAGAAUUUAUGGAAAGAUAUGGCGAUCUGAGUAUGCCCACUGAAGGGCCCCAAGAAAGAGCCAACAAUAGUCAACGGUGGGUGGAACUAACGGACACGCGAACGUGAAAUGCUGAUGCUACCGGCGACACGAAAACUACUGAGAAAUUGAGAAAAGUGUGGAGUGACUUUAAACAGCAAGAAGAAGGCAACUCGCAUACACAGAGCUGCCAAGGGAACACUGGAC